AUACGGCCAUAUCGCGUUGGAACACCGGUUCUCGUACGAUCAUCUAAGUUAAGCAACGUCGAGCCUGGUCUGUACCUAGCUGGGUUACAGCUUGGGAAUACAAGGU